GUAGAGCGGAGGACUGUAGUGG
rnacentral:miRNA from 1 species